CACCUGAGAUAUUAGUGUGGUGGCAGCUCACAGAGAACUUCUACAGGUAACACACCUGAGAUAUUAGUGUGGUGGCAGCUCAGAGAACUUCUACAGGUAACACACCUGAGAUAUUAGUGUGGUGGCAGCUCAGAGAACUUCUACAGGUAACACACCUGAGAUAUUAGUGUGGUGGCAGCUCAUAGAGAACUUCUACAGGUAACACACCUGAGAUAUUAGUGUGGCGGCAGCUCAGAGAGAACUUCUACAGGUAACACACCUGAGAUAUUAGUGUGGUGGCAGCUCAGAGAACUUCUACAGGUAACACACCUGAGAUAUUAGUGUGGCGGCAGCUCAUAGAGAACUUCUACAGGUAACACACCUGAGAUAUUAGUGUGGUGGCAGCUCAUAGAGAACUUCUACAGGUAACACACCUGAGAUAUUAGUGUGGUGGCAGCUCACAGAGAACUUCUACAGGUAACACACCUGAGAUAUUAGUGUGGUGGCAGCUCAUAGAGAACUUCUACAGGUAACACACCUGAGAUAUUAGUGUGGUGGCAGCUCAUAGAGAACUUCUACAGGUAACACACCUGAGAUAUUAGUGUGGUGGCAGCUCAUAGAACUUCUACAGGUAACACACCUGAGAUAUUAGUGUGGUGGCAGCUCACAGAGAACUUCUACAGGUAACACACCUGAGAUAUUAGUGUGGUGGCAGCUCAGAGAACUUCUACAGGUAACACACCUGAGAUAUUAGUGUGGUGGCAGCUCAGAGAACUUCUACAGGUAACACACCUGAGAUAUUAGUGUGGUGGCAGCUCAGAGAACUUCUACAGGUAACACACCUGAGAUAUUAGUGUGGUGGCAGCUCAGAGAACUUCUACAGGUAACACACCUGAGAUAUUAGUGUGGUGGCAGCUCAGAGAACUUCUACAGGUAACACACCUGAGAUAUUAGUGUGGUGGCAGCUCAGAGAACUUCUACAGGUAACACACCUGAGAUAUUAGUGUGGUGGCAGCUCAUAGAGAACUUCUACAGGUAACACACCUGAGAUAUUAGUGUGGUGGCAGC